GACGUAGGGCGCGAGCGUUGUCCGGAUUUAUUGGGCGUAAAGAGCUCGUAGGCGGCUUGUUGCGUCGACCGUGAAAACCCGGGGCUCAACUCCGGGCCUGCAGCCGAUACGGGCAGACUAGAGUUCGGCAGGGGAGACUGGAAUUCCUGGUGUAGCGGUGAAAUGCGCAGAUAUCAGGAGGAACACCGGUGGCGAAGGCGGGUCUCUGGACAUUUCCUGACGCUGAGGCACGAAAGCCCAGGGGAGCAAACGGG
rnacentral:rRNA from 1 species